rnacentral:rRNA from 1 species
CAUAUUAUUAAGCGGAGGAAAAGAAACUAACUAGGAUUCCCUCAGUAGCGGCGAGCGAAGCGGGAAUAGACCGAGAUGAAAAUCCCUUCGGGGAGUUGUAAUCUGGGCAAUGUUGAGUGUUCAGUGAAUGUAAGUCACAUGGAAUUGUGUACCGUGGAGGGUGAGAGUCCCGUCCAGCAUUCACAGGAAUUUCUCGUACGACAUUGUUUCAACCGAGUCGGGUAGCUUGAGAACGCUGCUCUAAUAGGUGGUAAACUUCAUCUAAGUCUAAAUACUAGUGGGAGACCGAUAGCGAACAAGUACCGUGAGGGAAAGAUGGAAAGCACUUUGAAAAGAGGGUGAAAAGUACCUGAAACCGCCAGGGGGGAAGCGAAUUGCAUCAGUGUGGAUUAGCAGUGUUCAGCAAGCCUCGUGCUUGUGUACUCAUUGCUAAGCUAUGUUGGGAUGGCUGUUGCGCUAUGGAUUAUGCAUGGUGUGAUGGUGAGGGCUCCCGCAAGGUGAGGAUCUCAACUAAAUGAUGCGACUCGACCCGUCUUGAAACACGGACCAAGGAGUCUAACA